GAUGAACGCUGGCGGCGUGCCUAAUACAUGCAAGUCGAGCGAACGGACGAGAAGCUUGCGUCUCUGAUGUUAGCGGCGGACGGGUGAGUAACACGUGGAUAACCUACCUAUAAGUCUGGGAUAACUUCGGGAAACCGGAGCCAAUAACGGAUAAUAUUUUGAACCGCAUGGUUCAAAGGUGAAAGACGGUCUUGCUGUCACUUAUAGAUGGAUCCGCGCUGCAUUAGCUAGUUGGUAAGGUAACGGCUUACCAAGGCAACGAUGCAUAGCCGACCUGAGAGGGUGAUCGGCCACACUGGAACUGAGACACGGUCCAGACUCCUACGGGAGGCAGCAGUAGGGAAUCUUCCGCAAUGGGCGAAAGCCUGACGGAGCAACGCCGCGUGAGUGAUGAAGGUCUUCGGAUCGUAAAGCUCUUUUAUUAGGGAAGAACAUAUGUAUAAGUAACUGUGCACAUCUUGACGGUACCUAAUCAGAAAGCCACGGCUAACUACGUG
rnacentral:rRNA from 1 species